rnacentral:lncRNA from 1 species
AUAUCUUUCUGCUGUUUGUAGAGCUGAGCGGUGAAGGGCCAGGAUAUCUCUGUUUGACGGUUAGAAGACCAUUAUUUGUUUAGGACAGGAGGGUGAUGUUUUCUCCUGUCUCGCUGAUGCCUGCUGCUGGCGUUGAUCUUUCAUUAUAGUCUACUACUGCUGGCGUUGAUCUUUCAUUAUAGUCUACUACUGUUGUCUGUGGUUCUUAUAGGCCCCUGCUGUUGUCUGUGGUUCAUAUAGUCUACUGCUGUUGUCUGAGGUUCAUAUAGUCUACUGCUGUUGUCUGAGGUUCGAUCUAGUCUACUUGCUGUUGUCUGA